GCGGUCGUGGUGAAAUUGGUAGACACGCUGGAUUUAGGUUCCAGUGAUUCACGUCAUGCAGGUUCGAGUCCUGUCGACCGCA
rfam:Clostridiales bacterium KA00274 genomic scaffold Scaffold14, whole genome shotgun sequence.